UGGGGAAUAUUGCACAAUGGGGGAAACCCUGAUGCAGCGACGCCGCGUGAGCGAUGAAGGCUUUCGAGUCGUAAAGCUCUGUCCUAUGGGAAGAUAAUGACGGUACCAUAGAAGAAAGCCCCGGCUAAUUACGUGCCAGCAGCCGCGGUAAUACGUAAGGGGCGAGCGUUGUCCGGAAUUAUUGGGCGUAAAGAGUGCGUAGGCGGCAAAUUAAGUCAGAUGUGAAAACUAAGGGCUCAACCCAUAGAUUGCAUCUGAAACUGAUAUGCUUGGGUCAAGGAGAGGAAAGUGGAAUUCCUAGUGUAGCGGUGGAAUGCGUAGAUAUUAGGAGGAAUACCGGUGGCGAAGGCGACUUUCUGGACUUGAACUGACGCUGAGGCAUGAAAGCGUGGGGAGCAAACAGG
rnacentral:rRNA from 1 species